rnacentral:rRNA from 1 species
UACGAAGGGUGCAAGCGUUACUCGGAAUUACUGGGCGUAAAGCGUGCGUAGAUGGUUUGUUAAGUCUGAUGUGAAAGCCCUGGGCUCAACCUGGGAAUUGCAUUGGAUACUGGCAGGCUAGAGUGCGGUAGAGGAUGGCGGAAUUCCCGGUGUAGCAGUGAAAUGCGUAGAGAUCGGGAGGAACAUCUGUGGCGAAGGCGGCCAUCUGGACCAGCACUGACACUGAGGCACGAAAGCGUGUGGAGCAAACAGG